rnacentral:tRNA from 1 species
GGAGAGUUGGCUGAGCGGUCGAAGGCGGCGGUCUUGAAAACCGUUGAGGGUUGAUAGCCCUCCUGGGGUUCGAAUCCCUAACUCUCCGCCA